ACGUAGGCUCCAAGCGUUGUUCGGAAUUACUGGGCGUAAAGCGAGUGUAGGCGGUCCGUCAAGUCGAUUGUGAAAUCUCCCGGCUCAACUGGGAGGGUGCGGUCGAAACUGACGGACUAGAGUUCGGGAGAGGAGAGUGGAAUUCCUGGUGUAGCGGUGAAAUGCGUAGAUAUCAGGAGGAACACCGGUGGUGAAGACGGCUCUCUGGACCGAUACUGACGCUGAGACUCGAAAGCGUGGGUAGCAAACAGG
rnacentral:rRNA from 1 species